rnacentral:piRNA from 1 species
UGAGUGUUUACGAGUGCACUUGCGA